rnacentral:snoRNA from 1 species
CCUCUCUCAGAGUCGCACCUGGAAUGUUUCCAGUACUCUACCAGUCUCGACUAAGGGAGGGAGAGUCAAGCAGAGGCCUACCCAUUCCAUUCCUAGCUUGGGGCAGAGGCUAGUGAAUGGAAGACAAUCUGCUACAAGU